rnacentral:lncRNA from 10 species
CUUAAGGUGUCAUCACAAAGUGUUUGAAGGACCAAAGAUAGUACUUCUAAAAUUUGACAGGGCUUCAUUUUGAUUUUUUCUCCCCAAAUAGUUGAUAGCAAUAAUCAAUACCAGUUGAGAUACCAAAGAGGCAGCCUUUCCCUGAUUCCCACACCACUUGUAGGCCUUUGCUAGAAUGGUCAUUAAUACGUAUGAAUCAGUUGAGCUAAAUAUUAUUUAGAACGUGGCAAAAUGCUGGCUGUAAAUUAAAUCAAAGAUAAGUAAUUCAAAGGCUUUAACUGAAAAUUUCUGAAAAGAUGUUUGCUGUGCUAUUAAAGAUGUUAAAUAACAAAAAUUAAAAGAACUGAGAAAGACUAUACCAUGAAAGUGCAUAAUAGUGAAGAAAAAAAUGAAGUUCCCUUGGCGUUAGCCAGGUGCAUGCAAAUCUUUUUAUCUGAAUGUAGAAAUGCAAAAAGUACCAGGAGAACAUUUCUGAAAGUAGUCAAGUAUGUUUUAACAUUUAUCUCCUUAUAAUAUGCAAACUGCCAAACUGGAGUUAUGUUUUUAGUUGGUAAUUGAUAUAUAUAUAUAUUUUUGAGAUGGAGUUUCACUCGUCGCCCAGGCUGGAGUGCAGUGGGCUUUCCGUUUUAAAAAAUAUAUCUUCUGUUAUACUUCAGUUAUUUCAUUCCACUGAUCAUUUUCUUGCAAAUGAAAAUUGAAAAUACCAGUCUAUAAUGUUUUCAUACACCUA